ACCGAGAAAGACUCAAAGUUACUUCUUCACAAUGGAGCUUUUGUUGUGCAAAUCUUUGUCUCCUGACUCAAGCUGAAAAACAACUCAAAGGGACAAGCUACAGGAUGCUUUGCAAGGUAAAGAAGUGUUACCAAGUCUAGUAUCAUGGUGGAAAACUUGGAUAGUUGGCUUCAGAAAAUUGUCACUGACUCUCUGUGUACACUUCUAUGGCUAAGCUGAAGAAGAAACUGGAUUUGGCAAACACCGUGACUGAAGUAGUUCUGGAAUCUAAACUGGUGUUGACUCAUUCGUGAUGUGCUCAGGUUUCCAGAAGAAUCCUCCACACCAUAAAUUUGUCUUUCUGCCAUGCUCAAGAACAUCUUGACUGUGGUAUCCCACAUCAUGACCUUCCAGCUCUUCUUCCCAAUACGUGACUCACUACUUCCUGAUUUUCUGCCCUCUCUAUUUCUCCUCUGAUAGACCUUAGAGAAAGUUGGCCAUUCUUUUUUUGGGAAAUCUUUCCCCAUUGGUUCUAGGCAUGGUUCCAAAUCUGCUGAUUCCAGAAACACUUCCCUGAUAAAAUUUACCCUGUUGAAUCAAUUCUCAAUUUUGUAUUAUCUUUACAUUUGUACAUUUAGUUUAGAAUUUUUACUAUAAAGUUUUUUUUAUAAAGGCUAGGUUGGCCUCCAACUCAUGAUCUUGCCCCACCAUCCCCUGUGCUGUGAUCACAGGUGUAAACCAUGUUGCUCUACUUGAUUUGUCCUUGUUAUAAUAUCUAUCUAUUUGUUCAUAAAUCUAUCUAUCUAUCUAUCUAUCUAUCUAUCUAUCUAUCUAUCUAACAGGGUCUCACUGUUAACCUUGAACUCACAGAAACUGACCUUCUUCUGAGGCCUCCCAAGUGCUGAGAUUGAAGAUAUUCACUGCCCAGCCAUGUUAUAAUCAUUCCUGAAGUUGUAUUUUUACCUUACAUAUUUUAUUUCAAAUAAAAAUAGAAUUAGAUUAGAUUCUUAUUGUUACAUAGAAUAUAUUAUUUUUUUCACCUUUCUCUUAAACACACACACACACACACACACACACACACUUCUAUGUAUCAUUUUCUCUAAAAUGAAAGAUAACAUCCUGGAGCAUAUCUCACGAAGACUCAGAAGAUCCUAAAGGCAGGCGCUUUAAGACUCAGGAAGAAACACGUCAGAAGUCUCAGGAAGUGCAUCCCACUUACUAGACUUAUAAGACCCCAACCUUCCUAAGGUUAUAUCGGAAGUAAGGUCUGCUAAGAAGAGGAGACAUGCCCAGCUUUCUACAUGUUGGGCAGAGUGCUCCAGGGUUCCAGCUUUCAACUACUGUCAUUCUUCCUAAGGUGGGCUUUAAGUGAUAUGGCUGCCUUUGAGAUGUCCAUGCUCCUGUAAACAAUCCCUUGUUCAUACUCCUGUAAAGAAUCCCAGUAAAAUCAUUGGAUUGCCAAGUUAGAGUUUGGUGAUAUCAUUACUUUGGUGAUGUUCUUAGUUCCCUCUCUGGGUUUGGUAGGUGUUUGUUCAUGUAUCCUGAGGAAUAGUCUUCCCACCCCCACAUACACACACAAAGAGAGUAAAUAAGUUAACUAGGACAUGUUAUAAAAUACCUCACAGGCCAGGUGUGAUCUAUCUAUCUAUCUAUCUAUUUAUCUAUCUAUCUAUCUAUCUAUUCUUUAUCUAUCUAUUUGAAAUGAGGAGUCCUUUGUUCCAGAAACUUCCAAGAGGCCAACUGUGGAUGACAUUGAGAGAGUGUUAAGACAGGAAGUAGAAAUAAUAGUGGCAUCUGCAACCUUAUAAGCCAUUGUAAGGACUUUUUUUUUCUUUCCUGAGCGAUGUGGGAGUUUGCUAGAGUGUUUUGAUCAGAAGAGAUGACACAAUUCAUCAGUAUAUGUUGUGUUAUGUUGUAGAUACACUGGUGGUGUGAGUAAAAGAAGCAAGGGGAGGCUUA